rnacentral:ncRNA from 2 species
GGCAGCACGGGAGAGCGACCCGUUAGCUGGCAGACAAUCCAGGCCCCAUCCCACGGCAACUGUGGAUGGGGCCUGGCUUUCUGCGCUUAACCCCGUCUUCCAAUAACGGGAAAGAUUCAGUGCAUUGCACUUGAUUGCAGAACGCCUCGGCAGCGUUAUGGAGCGGACCGCAUCGCUCGGGGCGAACAAGCUUCUCCUCGCGGCUCCGUAGUCCCG